UUCUGACAUGAUUUUGGUUUAUUAGAGAAAAUCAUAGUUUUUUAUAGACUAUGGAGGAGGGCUCGUUUGCAAGGUGGUGGCUGUGAAAGAUUAUUUGGAUUAGAAGCAGGGGACUCCAUUCCAAGUGUCUUAAGUAGGAAGUUCCUUUCCUGAAAAAGAAACAAAAACU